UUUAUAGAAGUUCUAUAACGAUCAGGCUCUUUGAGCUAUGGACAUAAACGCGCUCGUAAUAAGCGGAUCGGACCUCGGGGCGGUACCGAGCGGCUCCACCAUUUUCCUAAAUCUUGCGGACGUAUGGGGUCGAAAUAGGAUAGACGAACGUGUAAAGGAGAUAGCUUUGUCUCGGCGGGAUGCCACCGUUAUCGGCGCAAAAAGUACAAUUGCAAAUGACAAUCGUGCUCCAGUAGCAAUGGCUGCGUAAGCAGUCGGAGAUACUGAACUUUAAUCCCUAGUGACUAGCAUCACUGGGUGGGGUUAGAGCGGUUCCUCGCAACAGAAUACC
rnacentral:tmRNA from 1 species